AUAAUAGCAAGCACAUAUACAUUUGGAAUGGCCUACAAUACCACCACUUUUGGCUAAAAAUUGGGAUAAUAGCAAGCACAUAUACAUUUGGAAUGGCUGGUUUGGUGGUCAAGGUUCUCAUGAAGAAUGAACAGAAAGUAGAGGCAGGGCAACCAGUAUUAGUAAUGGAAGCUAUGAAAAUGGAGCAUGUUGUAAAGGUUCCUUCCUUUGGUUUUAUUCACGGGCUUCAAGUAGCUCCUAGGCAGCAAGUUUCAGAUGGAAUGGUGCAUAAAAGUUUUUGGGUAUUCUGAUUGCUGUUGGUGAGGCUGCAACCAGCGCUUAGGGGGAGCCCUCUCCAAGGACCCGCAGGCGCGACAUCGAGAGGAGAGGGUGCGGACAGGGUUUUGAAUUCUCCCUCGAGUUCCUGAAACAAAUAUUUACAUCAUCUCAACAUAGGUUCAGUUGCUUACCUUUGCUUGAGUAAGAAAAGGUCAGCUAGGGUCAAAGUUAUAGGCAUAAAAAUAAUGAAGAAAUUGGAGACACAAGGGAUAUUGAUAACAUCACAUAAGGAUAUUAUCAUGAGGAAGGACUUAUUGAUCAAGAUCUUGAACAUGAAGAUGCAUGUUCGCAUAGUGAACCACUAAACGGUGAGGAACUCAUGAAUGUAGUGGAGGAAGAGGAACUUAACAUGUCAGCACUCAGCAGAUGCGACUGUUGUUGAAAAGCCGGCUGAGGUUAGGAAGAAGCCAGCUAAGAGGUUUGAUUUUGUGUUUGAACCAAACCAGAAAAGAGAGCAAAAGCAGCAGCUAAGACCAGGGGCACAGACUUUGUGUUUGAUUUUGUGUUUGUACUAUUACAACCUUGUUUAAUGAAAAUAUGUAGCUUUAUAUAUAUGUUAGUGUUUCUAUAUCAAUUUAAAUGAAUUUUUUUUUUUUUGAGGGUAUUUUUGGCACUGAUUUUGAAACAGAACCGGUGCUAAAAGUUUUUUUUUUUUUAAUUUUUUUGGGCCAUUUUUCGCACCAGUUCACUGCAAGAACCGGUGCGAAAUCUUUUGGUAUUUGUCAUCCCUCAAAUAAGGACCGGUUCAAAACUGGUGCUAAAUGGGGGUUUUGAACCGGUGCUCAUUUGUAUUUUUCGCCUAGUGCACGAAAACAAUCAAAAUACCCCUUGUUACUUGCAUUAGAUUCUUAAUUCCACUUUGAUUGUGCAAUGCCCCGUAUCCUUGUGGUUCGACCCUAGCUUGCCACUAUCUAGUGUGAACUUCAUAGAGUUAGGUUAGGAUUAUAAAUUGUUGAUUUGAUUUAGGAUAGUAGACACGACCUAUUAUCCGCCGAUUAGAAUCAUGCUUAUGAUUUUUUUUUUUCUUCUUUUUUUUUUUUUCCUUUUUUUCCUUUUUUUUAUUUGUUUU